rnacentral:rRNA from 1 species
CCUACGGGUGGCAGCAGUGGGGAAUAUUGGGCAAUGGGCGCAAGCCUGACCCAGCAACGCCGCGUGAAGGAAGAAGGCUUUCGGGGUGUAAACUUCUUUUGACAGGGAAGAGGAGAAGACGGUACCGGUCGAAUAAGCCACGGCUAACUACGUGCCAGCAGCCGCGGUAAUACGUAGGUGGCAAGCGUUGUCCGGAUUUACGGGGUGUAAAGGGCGUGUAGCCGGGUUGACAAGUCAGAGGGGAAAUCCUUCGGCGUAACCGCAGAACUGCCUUUGAAACUGUUGAUCGUGAGUACUGGAGAGGCAGCCGGAAUUCCUAGUGUAGCGGUGAACUGCGUAGAUAUUA